GGCCGCCAUCUUGUUACCGCGUUCCUGCCGGCGAGUCGCCGCUGGUCGGCGCUCACGAUCUGGGUCCUGAGGAUGAGCACCUCCUCCUUGCGCACCUCGAGCUCCUCGUGGGCCAGCUUGAGCUGGUUCAGCAGGAGGCUGUAGCUAUCUGGGGAGCCGUGGCUGGAGUUAUUCUGCGUGGCUUGGUCGGCCACGGCUUUCCUCAGCUCAUUCAGGUCAUUCUUCAGCUUUUUGUUCUCUGACUCCAGCUCUUGCCUCU
rnacentral:lncRNA from 1 species